rnacentral:rRNA from 1 species
GAUGAACGCUGGCGGCGUGCCUAAUACAUGCAAGUCGAGCGAACGGACGAGAAGCUUGCUUCUCUGAUGUUAGCGGCGGACGGGUGAGUAACACGUGGAUAACCUACCUAUAAGACUGGGAUAACUUCGGGAAACCGGAGCUAAUACCGGAUGAUAUUUUGCACCGCAUGGUUCAAAAGUGAAAGACGGUCUUGCUGUCACUUAUCGAUGGAUCCGCGCUGCAUUAGCUAGUUGGUAAGGUAACGGCUUACCAAGGCAACGAUGCAUAGCCGACCUGAGAGGGUGAUAGGCCACACUGGAACGGAGACACGGUCCAGAGUCCUGCGGGACGCAGCAGUAGGGAAUCUUCCGCAGUGGGCGAAAGCCUUACGGAGCAACGCCGCGUGAGUGAUGAAGGUCUUCGGAGCGUAAUACUCUGUUAUUAGGGAAGAACAUAUGUGUAAGUAACUGUGCAGAUCUUGACGGUACCUAAUCAGAAAGCCACGGCUAACUACGUG